UUGAAGGAUAAUUUCCAUAGUUUCUUGUGGAUCUGUGAUCUAUUAGUCGAGUUAAGGAAUGUUGGUGAUUGAUUAAUUUUGCCUGAUAAUACAUUAGGGGGAGUCUACGUGAAGUUUGCUGUGGGGAAAACACCGCUGGAGGUUUUCUGUUUGUAAUAUUCUUCUCCUUUUCAGAUAAAGAAAAAAAAAAAAAAGGGUUUGGACUGGAGCGACAUGAGGGAAAAAUACAACCGAUAUGGAAGGACAUGAGGGGCUAGAGCCACAAGACUACUGAGAGGGGAGGACAAGGUCUUGGAGGGAAGCACAGGGUGAGAGAUGACUCAAUCAGCCAAAAGCACCUGCUCCUGCUACUAUUCAACGCUCAGGCCUAUUAAUACAACCACACACACACACAACUCAAAUAGUCCCACUUUCUUCAGCUAGGCUCCUUUUCAGACUGUCAUAUUCAAUAACAGAUCAACAUUUCCAGGUAGUUUUGUGUUUCUGUGUAUGUUUUUUUUUUUUUUUUUUUUUUUU